rnacentral:rRNA from 1 species
CCUACGGGUGGCUGCAGUGGGGAAUAUUGCACAAUGGGCGGAAGCCUGAUGCAGCGACGCCGCGUGGGGGAUGACGGCCUUCGGGUUGUAAACUCCUUUCAGCAGGGACGAAGCUUUUUGUGACGGUACCUGUAGAAGAAGCACCGGCUGACUACGUGCCAGCAGCCGCGGUAAUACGUAGGGUGCGAGCGUUGUCCGGAAUUAUUGGGCGUAAAGAGCUUGUAGGCGGUUUGUCGCGUCUGCCGUGAAAGCCCAGGGCUUAACCCUGGGGCUGCGGUGGGUACGGGCAGGCUAGAGUGUGGUAGGGGAGACUGGAAGUCCUGGUGUAGCGGUGAAAUGCGCAGAUAUCAGGAGGAACACCGAUGGCGAAGGCAGGUCUCUGGGCCACUACUGACGCUGAGAAGCGAAAGCAUGGGGAGCGAACAGGAUUAGAUACCCCAGUAGUC